rnacentral:rRNA from 1 species
UACGUAGGGGGCUAGCGUUGUCCGGAAUCAUUGGGCGUAAAGCGCACGUAGGCGGCUCUGCAAGUCCCAUGUGAAAGCCCACGGCUCAACCGUGGAAGUGCAUGGGAAACUGCAAAGCUUGAGUACUUAAGAGGAUCGCGGAAUUCCCGGUGUAGAGGUGAAAUUCGUAGAUAUCGGGAGGAACACCAGUGGCGAAGGCGGCGAUCUGGGAAGAUACUGACGCUGAGGUGCGAAAGCGUGGGGAGCAAACAGG